AGAGUUUGAUCCUGGCUCAGGAUGAACGCUAGUGGCAGGCCUAAUACAUGCAAGUCGAACGGUCUUUAGCAAUAGAGAUAGUGGCGCACGGGUGCGUAACGCGUAACCAACCUACCCGAAUCUGGGGGAUAGCCCGCCGAAAGGCGGAUUAAUACCGCAUAAAACCACAGGGUGGCAUCACUUAAUGGUUAAAGAUUUAUUGGAUUCGGAUGGGGUUGCGUGCCAUUAGCUAGUUGGGGGGGUAACGGCCCACCAAGGCGACGAUGGCUAGGGGAGCUGAGAGGCUGGUCCCCCACACGGGCACUGAGAUACGGGCCCGACUCCUACGGGAGGCAGCAGUAGGGAAUAUUGGGCAAUGGUCGAGAGACUGACCCAGCCAUGCCGCGUGCAGGAUGAAGGCUUUCUGAGUCGUAGACUGCUUUUGCCAGGGAAGAAUAAGGGGGAUGCGUCCUCCGACGACGGUACCUGGUGAAUAAGCACCAGCUAACUCCGUGCCAGCAGCCGCGGUAAUACGGAGGGUGCAAGCGUUGUCCGGAUUUAUUGGGUUUUAAGGGGUUGCGUAGGCGGGCGAUUAAAUUUU
rnacentral:rRNA from 1 species